rnacentral:rRNA from 1 species
AAACAUAGCCUUAUGGGAAUAAAUAUAAGGUGUCUUCUGCCCGCUGAAGUCGUUUAACUCUUCUUUGAAGGGCCGCAGUACCUUGACUGUGCUAAGGUAGCAUAAUAAAUUGACUUAUAAUUAAAGUCGAGAAUGAACGAAUGAACGUGGAACUUCCUGUCUCCUUACGGAAUCCUUUAUAAAUUAAUGAUUAGGUGAAAAUACCUAAAUAAUAAUAUUAGACGAGAAGACCCUUAGAGUUUUUAUAAUUUUUAAAGUAAUUUUAAGAUUGUAUUUUUGUUGGGGCAACAUAUUAACAAAUUAUUAUUUUAAUGUAUUUUAUAUUUAACUCAUAACUAGUUAAAACAAGCAACUAUAUAAGAAUAAACUACCUUAGGGAUAACAGCAUAAUUUCAGUUUUCGAAGAUUGUGACCUCGAUGUUGGAUUAGGGACUAUACAGGCUAGCAGCUUGCAUAGAGUGUUCUGUUCGAACA